CAACUUCCGAGGCGCCCUCAUUGCCAGCCGGACCCCAGCCUCCGACAGGUUCGGGCGCCCUGCUUGCCCCGUGCUUCGCCGGCCCCCGCCCAGCGCCCGGCCCCUCCGGCUCCACUCCGCUCGCUCGGUCGGUCGCUCCGACGCCAUGGACACGUUUUGGUGGCGCGCAGCUUGGGGACUCUGCCUCGUGCAGCUGAGCCUGGCGCAGAUCGAUCUGAAUAUAACCUGCCGAUAUGCAGGCGUAUUCCACGUGGAGAAGAAUGGUCGCUACAGCAUCUCCAAGACUGAGGCUGCCGACCUCUGCAAGGCCUUCAAUAGCACGCUGCCCACCAUGGCCCAGAUGGAGGUGGCCCGGAGCAUAGGGUUUGAGACCUGCAGGUACGGGUUCAUAGACGGGCAUGUGGUGAUUCCCCGGAUCCACCCCAAUUCCAUCUGUGCUGCGAACAACACAGGGGUUUACAUCCUCACAUCCAACACCUCCCAGUAUGACACGUACUGCUUCAAUGCCUCAGCUCCACUUGGAGAAGACUGUACCUCAGUCACGGACCUGCCCAAUGCCUUUGAAGGACCCAUUACCAUAACUAUUGUAAACCGCGAUGGCACCCGUUAUACCAAGAAAGGCGAAUACAGAACGAACCCCGAAGACAUCAACCCCAGCAUCGUGAGCCCCAGCAGCCCUCCUGAUGAUGAGAUGAGCAGUGGCUCCCCCAGCGAGAGAAGCACGUCAGGAGGCUACAGCAUCUUCCACACGCACCUCCCAACUGCGUACCCACCCCCAGACCAAGACAGCCCCUGGGUCUCCAGCAAACCAGAGAAUACCUCGGAUACCACUCAGAUACUAAAGCAAGUCACCGCAACAGGUACGGAUUCAAGUAUCAUCUCAGCAGGCUGGGAGCCAACUGAAGAAAAUGAAGAUGAAAGAGACAGACACCCCAGUUAUUCUGGAUCAGGCAUUGAUGAUGAUGAAGAUUUUAUCUCCAGCACCAUUUCAACCACACCACGGGUUUUUACCCACCCACAACAGAACCCGAAUUGGAUCCAAAGGAACCCAGACCAUUCGAAUCCAGAAGCAUCACCUCAGACAACCACAAGGAUGACUGAUGUGGACAGAAGUAGCACCAGUGCUUAUGGAGAACGCUGGACCCAGGAACCGCACUCUUCUCUCAGUCACCAUGGGUAUCAGGAUGAAGAGGAGACCCCGCAUCCUACAAGCACAACCCAGGCACCCACUACUAGUACAGCAGAAGAAACAGCUACCCAGAAAGAGCAGUGGUUUGAGAAUGGAAGGCCUGGGGAAUAUCCCCAAACACCAAAAGAAGACUCUCAUUCAACAGCAGGGACAACUGUCACAGCAGCCUCAACGCAUGUCAGCCAUCCCCGUCAAAGAGUGACAACGCAGAGCCAAGAGGACAGUUCCUCGACUUACUUCUUCGACCCAGUCUCGCAUCCAAUGGGGCGAGGUCAUCGAACAAAAGGAAGGAUGGAUACAGACACCAGCCCUAGUACAACGCUUCAGCCUUCUGCAGAUCCAAACACGAGUUCGGUGGGAGACUUGGACAGGACAGGACCUCUCUCAAUGACAACUCGAGACUAUGGCUCGUCCCACGACCCCAGUGGAAGGUCCUAUACAACUCAUGCAUCUGAAUCAGCUGGACACUCAAGUGGGAGUGAAGACCAUGGGGCAAACACAACCUCAGGUCCUAUACGGAAACCUCAAAUUCCGGAAUGGCUGAUCAUCUUGGCAUCUCUCCUGGCCUUGGCUUUGAUUCUCGCGGUUUGCAUUGCUGUCAACAGUAGGAGAAGGUGUGGGCAGAAGAAAAAACUGGUGAUCAACAAUGGGAAUGGAACCAUGGAGGAGAGAAAGCCUAGCGGACUCAACGGAGAAGCUAGCAAGUCUCAGGAGAUGGUGCAUUUGGUGAACAAGGGGUCGUCAGAGACCCCAGACCAGUUUGUGACGGCAGAUGAGACACGGAACCUGCAGAAUGUGGAUAUGAAGAUUGGGGUGUAACACCUACUCUGUGACCUUGGAAAUAAACCACCAUUGGAGACACAACCAUUACAGGGAGCUGGGACACUUCACAGAUGCAGUGUGCUACUGAUUGUUUCAUUGGGGAUCUUUUUUUUUAGCAUAAAAUUUUCUAUUCCUUUUUUGGGAGUUUUUUGUGUUUUAUUUUUAAAAGUCAGAUCCAGUUGAUAAAAACCUCAUUGCUUUCUGAAAUG
rnacentral:lncRNA from 1 species